CACGCAUCCCAUAUUGCGUGAUAGGACCCAACACUAUUGAUCACUAUUUUAGUGUUUCAAGGUAGUUAAAGCUUGUGGUUAGAGGCUCUGGCUUGGGAUGGUCAUAUUAGAUGCAUUAUUUUAAUAAAAUCAAAUAUGAAAAUUAUUCAUGUAUAUAUUGAUAUAUUUAUAUUUUAAUUCUUCAUCAAUAGAUCUACUUAUUAUGACAGAUCUGCCAUCAUCAGGGGUCCAACUGUCAAUUUUAUGUUAAAGUCUUUAACUUUGAUCCACUAGCUAU
rnacentral:lncRNA from 1 species